rnacentral:rRNA from 1 species
AACGAACGCUGGCGGCAUGCCUAACACAUGCAAGUCGAACGAAGUCUUCGGACUUAGUGGCGCACGGGUGCGUAACGCGUGGGAAUCUGCCCUUGGGUGCGGAAUAACUUCUCGAAAGGGAUGCUAAUACCGCAUAAUGUCGUAAGACCAAAGAUUUAUCGCCCAAGGAUGAGCCCGCGUAAGAUUAGCUAGUUGGUGGGUAAAAGCCUACCAAGGCGACGAUCUUUAGCUGGUCUGAGAGGAUGAUCAGCCACACUGGGACUGAGACACGGCCCAGACUCCUACGGGAGGCAACAGUGGGGAAUAUUGGACAAUGGGCGAAAGCCUGAUCAGCAAUGCCGCGUGAGUGAUGAAGGCCCUAGGGUUGUAAAGCUCUUUUACCAGGGAUGAUAAUGACAGUACCUGGAGAAUAAGACU